UAAGACUCCUACGGGAGGCAGCAGUGGGGAAUAUUGCACAAUGGGCGCAAGCCUGAUGCAGCCAUGCCGCGUGUAUGAAGAAGGCCUUCGGGUUGUAAAGUACUUUCAGUCGGGAGGAAGGUGUCAAGGUUAAUAACCUUGGCAAUUGACGUUACCGACAGAAGAAGCACCGGCUAACUCCGUGCCAGCAGCCGCGGUAAUACGGAGGGUGCAAGCGUUAAUCGGAAUUACUGGGCGUAAAGCGCACGCAGGCGGUUGAUUGAGUCAGAUGUGAAAUCCCCGGGCUUAACCCGGGAAUUGCAUCUGAUACUGGUCAGCUAGAGUCUUGUAGAGGGGGGUAGAAUUCCAUGUGUAGCGGUGAAAUGCGUAGAGAUGUGGAGGAAUACCGGUGGCGAAGGCGGCCCCCUGGACAAAGACUGACGCUCA
rnacentral:rRNA from 1 species